GCCGGCCUAGCUCAAUUGGUAGAGCAACUGACUUGUAAUCAGCAGGUUGGGGGUUCAAGUCCUCUGGCCGGCACCA
rnacentral:tRNA from 1 species